UACGUAGGGAGCAAGCGUUGUCCGGAAUCAUUGGGCGUAAAGCGCGCGUAGGCGGCCCUGUAAGUCCGUUGUGAAAGUCAAAGGCUCAACCUUUGAAAGCCGAUGGAUACUGCAGGGCUAGAGUCCGGAAGAGGCGAGUGGAAUUCCUGGUGUAGCGGUGGAAUGCGCAGAUAUCAGGAAGAACACCCGUGGCUAAGGCGGCUCUCUAGUACGGUACUGACGCUGAGACGCGAAAGCGUGGGGAGCGAACAGG
rnacentral:rRNA from 1 species